AUUGAACGCUGGCGGCAUGCCUUACACAUGCAAGUCGAACGGCAGCACGGACUUCGGUCUGGUGGCGAGUGGCGAACGGGUGAGUAAUGUAUCGGAACGUAUCCUGUAAUGGGGGAUAACCAGUCGAAAGAUUGGGUAAUACCGCAUACGCACGAGAGUGGAAAGUAGGGGAUCGCAAGACCUUACGUUAUAGGAGCGGCCGAUAUCUGAUUAGCUAGUUGGUGGGGUAAAGGCCUACCAAGGCGACGAUCAGUAGCUGGUCUGAGAGGACGACCAGCCACACUGGGACUGAGACACGGCCCAGACUCCUACGGGAGGCAGCAGUGGGGAAUAUUGCACAAUGGGCGAAAGCCUGAUGCAGCGACGCCGCGUGAGGGAUGACGGCCUUCGGGUUGUAAACCUCUUUCAGCAGGGAAGAAGCGAAAGUGACGGUACCUGCAGAAGAAGCACCGGCUAACUACGUG
rnacentral:rRNA from 1 species